rnacentral:rRNA from 1 species
AGAGUUUGAUCAUGGCUCAGGAUGAACGCUGGCGGCGUGCCUAAUACAUGCAAGUCGAACGGUGAUAGUAAUAUCAUAGUGGCGACCGGGUGCGUAACACGUAGCUGACCUGCCCCUCAGCGGGGGACAACAGUGCGAAAGCGCUGCUAAUACCGCAUACGCUCGGAGAGAUUAGAGGCUUUCUGAGGAAACUUCUGGGGUUGAGGGAGGGAGCUGCGGCCCAUCAGGUAGUUGGUGAGGUAGAAGCUCACCAAGCCGACGACGGGUAGGGGGCCUGAGAGGGUGGUCCCCCACACUGGGACUGACACACGGCCCAGACUCCUACGGGAGGCAGCAGUAAGGGAUAUUGCGCAAUGGGCGAAAGCCUGACGCAGCAACGCCGCGUGGAGGAUGACGGCCUUCGGGUUGUAAACUCCUUUGGACCCGGACGAGGAAGGACGGUACGGGUCGAACAAGUCACGGCUAACUACGUGCCAGCAGCCGCGGUAAUAC